rnacentral:rRNA from 1 species
UACGAAGGGGGCUAGCGUUGUUCGGAAUUACUGGGCGUAAAGCGUGCGCAGGCGGUUUUGUAAGUCUGACGUGAAAUCCCCGGGCUUAACCUGGGAAUUGCGUUUGGAGACUGCAAGGCUGGAGUCUGGCAGAGGGGGGUAGAAUUCCACGUGUAGCAGUGAAAUGCGUAGAGAUGUGGAGGAACACCGAUGGCGAAGGCAGCCCCCUGGGUCAAGACUGACGCUCAUGCACGAAAGGCGUGGGGAGCAAACAGG